UGGUCACUGAAGACACUCCUUUUGAAGAGUUCCAAGCAAAAAGCAAAGUUUAAGGAAAACAUUUUUUUGAGGAACUUAAAACACAUUUUUCACAACUUUAUUUGAUCGAAGGGCGAAGGCGAAAAACAAAAGCCAGCCAACACAGAGGUGCCCCAAGGUCAAGUCUGAGGACCCCUGAUAUCGAGCCUCAACAGAGAAGGAAGAGACGGCGUCAUCGGUUCCGGCUCCUCCGAUUGGCUGCAUGGGCGUGCGCUUCGUCUUCCUGGUGCAAGGCAGCCGCGCCCCACUGUUGCCACGGAGACCACCCCUCCGACAUCAGCAAGGAGCUCCAGUGGUGAAGACCACUCCGUUUGCCGAUCUUGAUGCCGGCAUGCAACUUCAAUGGAAUGACAUUAUCUGUGAAGUAGGUCUCUGUUGCCCUCCAAAGUCUAUAAGAUGACAGUUGGUCAAAACCGGUCCUCUCCAUCUAUGAGGCUGAGAUUGGGCUCCACCGUCUCAGAGUCUACCAAGUGGAGAUUUGUAUCCAACAGCCCUGCUUCCCUUUCCGCCAUCUACAAGGCCAGGGGAUUCUCCAGCAACCAAGGUGCAGAUUGACACAUUCUCACACAGUGAUUUUACUCAUUAAUGCAACUGCUCUGUUAUUCAAAUACCCAGAAGAUGUUUAAUCUCCUUUGUGCAUUGCUAGUUGAUAGUAAUCCCAUAGGUCCCCCUUAUACACGG